rnacentral:rRNA from 1 species
GCGGUUACACUUGUUCUCCUACUCAAAGACGAAAUAGGAAAAGUAUUUGAUAAAUUUGUCUAAUAAAAGCAAGGUAACAAUAUUUUCAAAAACAAGUCAAUUAACUGGAUUAGUACCCAGGUAAGAUAAUUAAUUUAUUAAGGUAAUACCUAAAUUAAAUGGCAGUAUUUAUAGGAAGUAGAGAAACUUGAAGUUUAGAAAGUCCACUUUAUUGUUAAUUCUUUAAAAGUUUAAGUAUGGCUGUCCAAAAAUAAGUUAUUACUUAAAUUUGUAGUCAAGCAACAUUUAACUUAAAGAAAAUCUUUGAGUUGCAAAAAUUAAUUUAAUAAUAAUUAUAAAAAUAAGGAUUUACAAGUAAAAUAAUUUUUGAAAAAAAGUUAAGUACA